UACGAAGGGGGCUAGCGUUGUUCGGAAUUACUGGGCGUAAAGGGCGCGUAGGCGGCUUGGUAAGUCGGGCGUGAAAGCCCAGGGCUCAACCCUGGAAUUGCAUUCAAGACUGCUUUGCUUGAAUUCGGUAGAGGUUGGUGGAAUUCCCAGUGUAGAGGUGAAAUUCGUAGAGAUUGGGAAGAACACCGGUGGCGAAGGCGGCCAACUGGACCGACAUUGACACUGAGGCGCGAAAGCGUGGGGAGCAAACAGG
rnacentral:rRNA from 1 species